ACGCUCGACACCUACGGGAGGCAGCAGUGAGGAAUAUUGGUCAAUGGGCGCUAGCCUGAACCAGCCAAGUAGCGUGAAGGAUGAAGGCUCUAUGGGUCGUAAACUUCUUUUAUAUAAGAAUAAAGUGCAGUAUGUAUACUGUUUUGUAUGUAUUAUAUGAAUAAGGAUCGGCUAACUCCGUGCCAACACGCCGCGGUAAUCUGAGCGGGCUGGCAAGGC
rnacentral:rRNA from 1 species